AUUCCAGCUCCAAGAGCGUAUAUUAAAGUUGUUGCAGUUAAAAAGCUCGUAGUUGGAUUUCUGGUCUAAUGCGCCUGGCCCGCUGCCGUUAGGUAUGUGAGUGCCGGUGCGCGUUUACCAUCCUUCCAGAGAACACUUCUACCAUUUAUUUGGACGGAUGUUGUCUUCUGGAUCUUUUACUUUGAAAAAAUUAGAGUGUUUAAAGCAGGCCUUUGCUGUGAAUACAUUAGCAUGGAAUAAUAAUCUAGGACUUCGGUUCUAUUUUGUUGGUUUCUAGUACUGAAGUAAUGAUCAACAGGAACAGUUUGAGGAUAUUCGUGUGAACAUGUCAGAGGUGAAAUUCUUGGAUUUUGAUCAGACGAACUACUGCGAAAGCAUUUAUCAAGGAUGUUUUCAUUA
rnacentral:rRNA from 1 species